rnacentral:rRNA from 1 species
CACGUAGGGUGCGAGCGUUGUCCGGAAUUAUUGGGCGUAAAGAGCUCGUAGGCGGUGUGUCGCGUCGGCCGUGAAAACCUGCAGCUUAACUGUGGGCUUGCGGUCGAUACGGGCAUCACUGGAGUUCGGCAGGGGAGACUGGAAUUCCUGGUGUAGCAGUGAAAUGCGUAGAUCUUAAGAGGAACGCUCGCAGCGAAAGCGAAGCUCUGGUCAGGAACUGACGCUGAGGCACGAAGGCCAGGGGAGCGAACGGG